CCUACGGGGGGCAGCAGUGAGGAAUAUUGGUCAAUGGGCGGAAGCCUGAACCAGCCAAGUAGCGUGCGGGAUGAAGGCCCUACGGGUUGUAAACCGCUUUUGCACGGGGAUAACACCCUCCACUUGUGGCGGUCUGCAGGUACCGUGCGAAUAAGGGCCGGCUAAUUCCGUGCCAGCAGCCGCGGUAAUACGGAAGGCCCGAGCGUUAUCCGGCUUCAUUGGGCUUAAAGGGAGCGUAGGCGGGCGUUCAAGUCAGCUGUAAAAUCGCGGGGCUCAACCGCGCCCCGCAGUUGAAACUGGGCGCCUUGAGUUCACAACAGGCAGGCGGAAUUCGUGGUGUAGCGGUGAAAUGCAUAGAUAUCACGAGGAACCCCGAUUGCGAAGGCAGCCUGCCGGGGUGCGACUGACGCUGAGGCUCGAAAGUGCGGGUAUCAAACAGGAUUAGAUACCCUAGUAGUC
rnacentral:rRNA from 1 species